rnacentral:rRNA from 1 species
UGGGGAAUAUUGCACAAUGGGCGCAAGCCUGAUGCAGCCAUGCCGCGUGUAUGAAGAAGGCCUUCGGGCUGUAAAGUACUUUCAGCGGGGAGGAAGGCGUUGAGGUUAAUAACCUCAGCAAUUGACGUUACCCGCAGAAGAAGCACCGGCUAACUCCGUGCCAGCAGCCGCGGUAAUACGGAGGGUGCAAGCGUUAAUCGGAAUUACUGGGCGUAAAGCGCACGCAGGCGGUCUGUCAAGUCGGAUGUGAAAUCCCCGGGCUCAACCUGGGAACUGCAUUCGAAACUGGCAGGCUAGAGUCUUGUAGAGGGGGGUAGAAUUCCAGGUGUAGCGGUGAAAUGCGUAGAGAUCUGGAGGAAUACCGGUGGCGAAGGCGGCCCCCUGGACAAAGACUGACGCUCAGGUGCGAAAGCGUGGGGAGCAAACA